AGUGAACGCUGGCGGUAGGCCUAACACAUGCAAGUCGAACGGCAGCACAGUAAGAGCUUGCUCUUACGGGUGGCGAGUGGCGGACGGGUGAGGAAUACAUCGGAAUCUACUUUUUCGUGGGGGAUAACGUAGGGAAACUUACACUAAUACCGCAUACGACCUACGGGUGAAAGCAGGGGAUCCUCUGACCUUGCGCGAUUGAAUGAGCCGAUGUCGGAUUAGCUAGUUGGGGGGGUAAAGGCCCACCAAGGGGACGAUCCGUAGCUGGUCUGAGAGGAUGAUCAGCCACACUGGAACUGAGACACGGUCCAGACUCCUACGGGAGGCAGCAGUGGGGAAUAUUGGACAAUGGGCGCAAGCCUGAUCCAGCCAUACCGCGUGGGUGAAGAAGGCCUUCGGGUUGUAAAGCCCUUUUGUUGGGAAAGAAAAGCAGCAGGUUAAUACCCCGCUGUUCUGACGGUACCCAAAGAAUAAGCACCGGCUAACUUCGUG
rnacentral:rRNA from 1 species